ACACGACUACAUUAGAUACCCGCGUAGUCCCAGCCCUAAACGAUGCGCGUUAGGUGUAUCGGUGACCACGAGUCACCGAGGUGCCGAAGGGAAACCGUGAAACGUGCCGCCUGGGAAGUACGGUCGCAAGGCUGAAACUUAAAGGAAUUGGCGGGGGGAGCACCGACAACGGGUGGAGCCUGCGGUUUAAUUGGACUCAACGCCGGGAAGCUCACCGGAGAAGACAGCGGAAUGAUUGCCGGGCUGAAGACCCUGCAUGACCAGCUG
rnacentral:rRNA from 1 species